AGGAAUUGAACUGGGAAUUAUUUAUUUAGGUUCAUAUAGUAGGGGAGUUUAGAGAAUAAUGGCUUGAUUCCUCAAAUGAACAGUUAAGAGCAAUAGAGCCAGAUAUAGGUCUCAGUUUCCCAUCAUGCUGGCCUCUGGAAAUUUAAAUAAAGCAAGCCAAAAAGGUAAAAAAUACCAAAAGUUGAAAAUUCCUCUAACUUAUUUCUUAAUUUUUGAAGGCAGCAGGCAGCAGCCAAAACAUACCACACAUCUACAGUGAGACGCUUACCACAACAAUUCUGUGAAAAAGGUGUGGAUGUUCCUAUUUCACAGAAAAGGAAAUAAAAGCUCAGAGGAACUAAAGAAUUUUCUACACGUCACCUGUUGGACUCCUUCAGUGUUGCUUCACCAGCCAGAAAUCUCUACGGCCAUCGUCAUCUCUGCCCAAGCCUUGCUUAGGGCCUGCUGGGCUCACCCUGCCCACUUGGCCCAGCAGGCUGCACUUGGCUCAUGCCUCGGCCCGAAUACUGCACCUGCCAUGGCUCCAUGCUUAGCCCACAGCUGGACCAAGCAUACUGCUAGUGACUUCUGCCUUGGGCACCAGCAUCUAGACAAACAGAACGCAGUGGCAUCCGAAAACUUGGAGAUGACAGCAAUUGCGAAACCCCAAGGGGUGUUACAGCUCUUACCUGAGGAGUCCCAAGGUCUGAGAUGUUAGAUGUUGCAGUUCUUCACUCCUGCAGCUCAGCAAGCAGGAGCAUGUUACAGCUCUCUUUCUUCCAUAGUCUGGCAAGUGGCAGUGUGUUACAGCCCAUUUAUUCCCACUGCCCGCAGCUCAGUGGGUUCUGGGUUCUUGUCCUGCAACCAAGAGGAAUAAGGUGUGUGGACACCAGAGAGUGAAUAAGGCAGAGAAGAAUUUUAUUGAGCAACAGAAGGAAAGCUCUCAGCUGCAAAAGAGAGGACCUGAGAGUGGGUAGCCGUCUGUGAGGCUGAGUCCAGGUUUUUAUGGGCUUAGAAUUGGGGAGUGCAUGCUGAUUGGUCCAUGGGUUGGCUUUGGAAAAAGCACCAUUCAAUUGGUUUAAAGGCAUCAUUCAGAAGGAACCAAUUGAGAGAGAGAGAGGGUGAGAUGGGUAUAGAAGUUUUCACUCUGGUUAUAGACUCUAUAUGGAACCAACAGCUUGGUUUUCAGGCUUUAAACGGUCUUUGGCAAGACAGGGACUUGUCUCUGCCUAGGAAUUUGUCUGUCUCCUGUCACUAUUACUCUCUAUGUCCACUGCUUCUUCUCUUUAAAGAAUUUAUCACUUCAUGCUUUGCAACUAAAUUAUUGUAGAGGCCUGUCUCUUAUUCCUUCAAUCGGUUCUGAACAUCCCUUCUAGAUUAAUAUUUUGUAACACCUCUUUAAUUUUAUCACUUCCACAUUCAAGUCUCUUGCUCACAGAAUGAAGACUUUCAGUGUUUUGUUGGUUGUGACAUUCUUAACUGCUCUUAUUCUUCAUUUUGUAGGCCAAUCUUUAGCAAAACUGUCAAUCACAUUCUUGGGCUUUUGACCUGUACACAUUUGUACUUCAACAGAUUUGCCCUUGUCAGUCCCUAUUUUGCCUUUAUGUUCACCUUCUCGUCUCAAGCUCCACCUUGAAGUUCUGUACAUUUUUUAAAGCCUGGCUCAAAAUUAUAGACCACAUUCUAGAUAAAAUAUCUUAUGAUAAUGCUAGGUAGAAGUGACUUCUUUCAUUUCUAUAAUCCCUGAUCCCUUACAAUUCGUCCAUUACGCCAUGGGGGACAUAAGUAUAUGUCUCUUUUCUUAUAGUGGUGGUUUUCUUUUCUCCUUGUGUCAUACAUUCCUUCAUCCUAGAGACUACAUUUUAAACUCCCUGAGGAUUCCUUACAGAUAGAAACGGGAUUUCACUCCUACAAUGAUGUCUUGAAAAUAGUAACUACAUAUUUGUUUAAUAAAUAUAUCUAAAAUUAUCUAAAUAAAUAUAUCCAAAAUAUAUCAAUGAUGGAUAGAUCAAUAAAUGUAUCCAUUAAAUACUACUGCUUUAUACCAAUUCAGUUCACAUUUAUAGAAGCUUUAUUUUGACCCAAGCAUGUAAAAUACAGAAGUGAUUUUCACAGGCCACAUACACUUAAGGAGUUUAGUCUGACAAAAGAGAUUCAAUAUUAAAUUAGAAUAACAAUAAAAUGAGACACCUGAUUUAUAUUGGUAAAUUGUGCAUGCAUAGAGGAAAGAGUUAUUGUCUCAGUCUUGGGUUCAUAGGUGUUGCAAUUUGAUUUGAGUCAAAAGUUGAAUAUAAUAUGGAAAAUGUGGCAUACAAAACAUUUCACAAAGAAGGUGGGCAAAGAUACAGGAGAAUAUGUGGUUACCAGUAAAGUGCAAUGUUCAUGUGCAGAAAGAGCUGGAAACAAGACAUGUGGAGACUAAGUGGUGGCCUCCAAAUCUGAGCCAAAGUCCAGGAGUUGAAAGGUAAAGGCUUGGCUCUCCUGGUUCCUCUUCCUCACCCUAACUGUGCACAAGUCAGUCCUUAUGGCAAAUAUUACAUGUUGUUAUUAUUAUUAUUAUUUUACUUCUAUUUUUUCCUCUCCUCAUAAGCCAUUACAAAUCUCAGUGAGUGGAAGAAACAUGAGCAUAGUACUUUAUUAUCAAAACUUCAACCAAUAACUUUGCCAAGGGUUCAAACAGAACCCUACCAUUAAUACAUAAAUUUGUUAUUUAUAGAAAAAUAAAGAAAGCUAGGAAAAUUAGAGUCCUAGAACAUGGAGAUUUCAAGAAGAAUUAAGAGUAUUUACCACAGAAUUGAAUAUGGCUUUACUAAGAACACAGCUAUUUGGGGAGAAGCAAGGAUGGUAGGUCAAGGAUCAUGUUUUAUGCAGUAGGACUCUCAUCACUCUUACAGUCUUAUACAAUAUUCUCCACAUUAAAAACUGUAUGUAGAAAAGGAGAGACAUCAGAACAAUUAUUAGAUGUUUUAUAAAAAUGAACCACAGGAAGUGGUAUGGUGAAGACGGAAGCCAACAGGAUUAAAAAAACAUGAUUUUAAAUUUUAGUCCUACCAAUUAUCAAAUGUAGAACCUAGGGAAAUAACUGAAUAUUAUUAAUGCUUACUUUUAUUAUCUGAAAUCACAGGAAAAACAUUACAUCCAUUUCAUAGGGUUGUUUGAAGACAAAACGAGAUAAUAAAAGGACAGAGCAGAUUUUGGGACAUACUAAAUGCUCAGUAUAUGUUGAUUAUGCUGAUUGCAGAUAUUAUGUGAAAGGACUGUUUCUGAAUAUGUGUUCUCUUAGUUAUAUCUCAGAAUAUUCUCCUUGAAAUGUUAAUUAAAAGCAUACUAUUUCCUCCUAACUUCUUCUGAUAUAGUCUCAUUAUUUUUAUAUAAUAUCACUUAUAUCUUUAAAAAAUUCCUCCAUUUAUGUAUUAUUACUAAGAAAAUCAAAUUUAUCAUCAAAGUGGAUUAGUUAUUUCCAAAGCUAUUAUAAAUAUUUACUCUUAAACUUCUA
rnacentral:lncRNA from 1 species